rnacentral:rRNA from 1 species
UACGGGGGGGGCAAGCGUUGUUCGGAAUUACUGGGCGUAAAGGGUUCGUAGGUGGCCUGCUAAGUCGGACGUGAAAUCCCUCGGCUCAACCGGGGAACUGCGUCCGAUACUGGUGGGCUCGAGUGCAGGAGAGGAACGCGGAAUUCCAGGUGUAGCGGUGAAAUGCGUAGAGAUGUGGAGGAAUACCGAUGGCGAAGGCAACCUCCUGGGCCAACACUGACGCUCAUGCACGAAAGCGUGGGGAGCAAACAGG